rnacentral:rRNA from 1 species
UUGGAAACGACUGCUAAUACCCCAUACUCCUUUUUGACACAAGUUGAAUCGGGAAAGUUUUUUCGCUGAAGGAUGGGGCUAUAUGGUAUCAGCUAGUUGGUGAGGUAAGAGCUCACCAAGGCAAUGACGCCUAGCUGGUCUGAGAGGAUGAUCAACCACACUGGAACUGAGACACGGUCCAGACUCCUACGGGAGGCAGCAGUGGGGAAUAUUGCACAAUGGGGGAAACCCUGAUGCAGCAACGCCGCGUGGAGGAAGAAGCAUUUCGGUGUGUAAACUCCUUUUAUAUAGGAAGAUAAUGACGGUACUAUAUGAAUAAGCACCGGCUAACUCCGUGCCAGCAGCCGCGGUAAUACGGAGGGUGCAAGCGUUACUCGGAAUCACUGGGCGUAAAGCGCAUGCAGGCGGUUUAUUAAGUUGGAAGUGAAAUCCUAUGGCUUAACCAUAGAACUGCUUCCAAAACUGAUGAACUAGAGUCUGGGAGGGGAGAAUGGAAUUAGUAGUGUAGGGGUAAAAUCCGUAGAGAUUACUAGGAAUACCAAAAGCGAAGGCGAUUCUCUGGAACAGUACUGACGCUGAGAUGCGAAAGCGUGGGGAGCAAACAGGAUUAGAUACCCUGGUAGUCCACGCAGUAAACGAUGAAUGUUAGUCGUUGGAGUGCUAGACACUUCAGUGAUGCAGUUAACACAUUAAACAUUCCGCCUGGGGAGUACGGUCGCAAGAUUAAAACUCAAAGGAAUAGACGGGGACCCGCACAAGUGGUGGAGCAUGUGGUUUAAUUCGAAGAUACGCGAAGAACCUUACCUAGCCUUGACAUAUAUCAGAACCGGUCAGAGACGACGGGGUGCCUUCGGGAGCUGAUAUACAGGUGCUGCACGGCUGUCGUCAGCUCGUGUCGUGAGAUGUUGGGUUAAGUCCCGCAACGAGCGCAACCCUCGUCCUUAGUUGCUAACAGUUAGGCUGAGCACUCUAAGGAGACUGCCCGGGCAACCGGGAGGAAGGUGAGGACGACGUCAAGUCAUCAUGGCCCUUAUGGCUAGGGCUACACACGUGCUACAAUGGGGAGGACAAAGAGAGGCGAUACCGCGAGGUGGAGCAAAUCUUAAAACCUUCUCUCAGUUCGGAUUGGAGUCUGCAACUCGACUCCAUGAAGCUGGAAUCGCUAGUAAUCGUGAAUCAGCAAUGUCACGGUG